rnacentral:rRNA from 1 species
AGAGUUUGAUCCUGGCUCAGGAUGAACGCUGGCGGCGUGCCUAACACAUGCAAGUCGAACGGAUUUUCAUGAAGCCUAGCGAUUGAAAAGUUAGUGGCGGACGGGUGAGUAACGCGUGGGUAACCUGCCUUGUACUGGGGGACAACAGUUGGAAACGACUGCUAAUACCGCAUAAGCGCACAGCUUCGCAUGAAGCAGUGUGAAAACUCCGGUGGUACAAGAUGGACCCGNGUCUGAUUAGCUGGUUGGUGAGGUAACGGCCCGACCAAGGCAACGGAUCAGUAGCCGGCCUGAGAGGGUGAACGGCCACGAUUGGGACUGAGACACGGCCCAAACUCCUACGGGAGCA